AGGCAGCAGUGGGGAAUAUUGCACAAUGGGCGCAAGCCUGAUGCAGCCAUGCCGCGUGUGUGAAGAAGGCCUUCGGGUUGUAAAGCACUUUCAGUCGUGAGGAAGGUAGUGUAGUUAAUAGCUGCAUUAUUUGACGUUAGCGACAGAAGAAGCACCGGCUAACUCCGUGCCAGCAGCCGCGGUAAUACGGAGGGUGCGAGCGUUAAUCGGAAUUACUGGGCGUAAAGCGCAUGCAGGUGGUUUGUUAAGUCAGAUGUGAAAGCCCGGGGCUCAACCUCGGAAUAGCAUUUGAAACUGGCAGACUAGAGUACUGUAGAGGGGGUAGAAUUUCAGGUGUAGCGGUGAAAAUGCGUAGAGAUCUGAAGGAAUACCGGUGGCGAAGGCGGCCCCCUGGACAGAUACUGACACUCAGAUGCGAAAGCGGUGGGGAGACAAACAGGAUUAGAUACCCUGGUAG
rnacentral:rRNA from 1 species